rnacentral:rRNA from 1 species
AGCAGCCGCGGUAAUUCCAGCUCCAAUAGCGUAUAUUAAAGUUGUUGCAGUUAAAAAGCUCGUAGUUGAAUUUCGGGGUCUGUCCAUUGGUCGGGCUUCACGGUCCGUACUGGUGAGAUGGGUUCCUACCUUCUGAAUAACCAGCAUGCCAUUCAUUUGGUGCGCCGGGGAAGCAGAGCUAUUACCUUGAAAAAAUUAGAGUGCUUAAAGCAGGCUAGUGCUUGAAUAGAUUAGCAUGGAAUAAUAAAAUAGGACGGCUUGGUUCUAUUUUGUUGGUUUCUAGGAUCACCGUAAUGAUUAAUAGGGAUAGUUGGGGGCAUUAGUAUUCAAUUGUCAGAGGUGAAAUUCUUGGAUUUAUGAAAGACUAACUUCUGCGAAAGCAUUUGCCAAGGAUGUUUUCAUUAAUCAAGAACGAAAGUUAGGGGAUCGAAGACGAUCAGAUACCGUCGUAGUCUUAACCAUAAACUAUGCCGACUAGGGAUCGGACGGGAUUCUAUGAUGACCCG